CGGAGUAGCCUGAGUUGCCAUAUUAGGAGUAGCUCCUGAGAACGCGAUAAGGGCGCCAUGUUGAAUGUGGCGGAAAUUGAUGUUAAGUUGUUCCGGAAAGGAGAAACUGAAGAAGGAAAUGGUAUUAUGUGUUCCCAAGAGCAAAGGAGCUCAAAAUUCAAUCCACGGAGAUGUAUCCUGCAAACAGCUGAACAUUCAACAAAAGAAAGGGGCCCAUCCAAGGAAGAAGGAGGAAAAAAUCCUAGAACAGAUAUUUGCUUUUGUUCUUUGCUGAGAAUUUUUGACUGUGGGAAGUUCCAUCUUGCAACUCCCCCAUUUAUCUUUUUGUGCGUGUCCAAUUUAAGAAUACAUAGAGACGAGACUGUGACAAGACAACAAUAAACAGAAACAUACAACUUUGUGACAAGCAUGCUUUGAAAGGAGAAAAUCAGUGUUUUAGGAUCCUUUCUUAAAAAGAAACGUAUGCAGGGAGAAAAUUCAUUAAAACAGUUUCAGUGUACUGCCCCUUUAACUGAAGAAGCUAAGCUGUUGCGAUUAGCCAUCUGAUUGGCUGAGCUGACUUUCUUGUUCCCUAACUUUCCCUGCACCAUACAUGCAGAUA
rnacentral:lncRNA from 1 species